rnacentral:rRNA from 1 species
UACGUAGGUGGCAAGCGUUGUCCGGAUUUACUGGGUGUAAAGGGCGUGCAGCCGGGAGUGCAAGUCAGAUGUGAAAUCCCGCGGCUCAACCGCGGAACUGCAUUUGAAACUGUGCUUCUUGAGUGCUGGAGAGGCAGACGGAAUUCCUAGUGUAGCGGUGAAAUGCGUAGAUAUUAGGAGGAGCACCAGUGGCGAAGGCGGUCUGCUGGACAGUAACUGACGGUGAGGCGCGAAAGCGUGGGGAGCAAACAGG